rnacentral:rRNA from 2 species
UUCCACGUGUAGCGGUGAAAUGCGUAGAGAUGUGGAGGAACACCAGUGGCGAAGGCGACUCUCUUGUCUGUAACUGACGCUGAGGAGCGAAAGCGUGGGGAGCGAACAGGAUUAGAUACCCUGGUAGUCCACGCCGUAAACGAUGAGUGCUAAGUGUUAGGGGGUUUCCGCCCCUUAGUGCUGCAGCUAACGCAUUAAGCACUCCGCCUGGGGAGUACGGUCGCAAGACUGAAACUCAAAGGAAUUGACGGGGGCCCGCACAAGCGGUGGAGCAUGUGGUUUAAUUCGAAGCAACGCGAAGAACCUUACCAGGUCUUGACAUCCUCUGACAAUCCUAGAGAUAGGACGUCCCCUUCGGGGGCAGAGUGACAGGUGGUGCAUGGUUGUCGUCAGCUCGUGUCGUGAGAUGUUGGGUUAAGUCCCGCAACGAGCGCAACCCUUGAUCUUAGUUGCCAGCAUUCAGUUGGGCACUCUAAGGUGACUGCCGGUGACAAACCGGAGGAAGGUGGGGAUGACGUCAAAUCAUCAUGCCCCUUAUGACCUGGGCUACACACGUGCUACAAUGGACAGAAACAAAGGGGCAGCGAAACCGCGAGGUUAAGCCAAUCCCCACAAAUCUGUUCUCAGUUCGGAUCGCAGUCUGCAACUCGACUGCGUGAAGCUGGAAUCGCUAGUAAUCGCGGAUC